AUUGAACGCUGGCGGCAGGCCUUACACAUGCAAGUCGAGCGGAGCGGCGGACGGGUGAGUAAUACAUAGGAAUCUGCCCGGUAGUGGGGGAUAACGUCCGGAAACGGGAGCUAAUACCGCAUACUAUCAGAUGAGCCUAUGUCUGAUUAGCUAGUUGGUGGGGUAAAGGCCUACCAAGGCGACGAUCCGUACCUGGUCUGAGAGGAUGAUCAGCCACACUGGAACUGAGACACGGCCCAGACUCCUACGGGAGGCAGCAGUGGGGAAUAUUGGACAAUGGGCGAAAGCCUGAUCCAGCCAUGCCGCGUGUGUGAAGAAGGUCUUCGGAUUGUAAAGCACUUUAGGUUGGGAAGCGGUACCGACAGAAUAAGGACCGGCUAACUACGUGCCAGCAGCCGCGGUAAUAC
rnacentral:rRNA from 1 species